GACGAACGCUGGCGGCGUGCUUAACACAUGCAAGUCGAACGGAAAGGCCCUUCUUUUGUGGGGUGCUCGAGUGGCGAACGGGUGAUUAAUACGUGAGUAACCUGCCCUUGACUUUGGGAUAACUUCAGGAAACUUGGUCUAAUACCCGAUAUGAGCUCCUGCUGCAUGGUUGGUGUUGGAUAGUUUCGGCGGUUGGGGAUGGACUCGCGGCUUAUCAGCUUGUUGGUGGGGUAGUGGCUUACCAAGGCCUUGAAGGGUAGCCGGCCUGAGAGGGUGACCGGCGACAAGAGGACUGAGGGACGGACCAGAGUGGAACGGGAGACAACAGGGGGGAGUAUGACACAAUGAGGGGAAGCGUAAGGCAGAAACGCCGCGGGCGGGAUGAGGGCCUUCGGGUUGUAAAAAGCUUUCGCCUGAGAAGGAGCGUGAGUGACGGUAAUGGAUAAAGAAGCACCGGCUAACUACGUG
rnacentral:rRNA from 1 species